UCUUUUGCGGCGUAGUGGUUAGCGUUCCUGCCUGGCAACUAGAGGGAUACGCGUUCGAAUCGCGGACCGGAUGAG